rnacentral:rRNA from 1 species
GACGAACGCUGGCGGCGUGCCUAAUACAUGCAAGUAGAACGCUGGAGGAGGAGCUUGCUUCUCUGGAUGAGUUGCGAACGGGUGAGUAACGCGUAGGUAACCUGCCUGGUAGCGGGGGAUAACUAUUGGAAACGAUAGCUAAUACCGCAUAAUAUUGACUAUUGCAUGAUAGUCAGUUGAAAGGUGCAACUGCACCACUACCAGAUGGACCUGCGUUGUAUUAGCUAGUUGGUGGGGUAACGGCUCACCAAGGCGACGAUACAUAGCCGACCUGAGAGGGGGAUCGGCCACACUGGGACUGAGACACGGCCCAGACUCCUGCGGGAGGCAGCAGUAGGGAAUCUUCGGCAAUGGACGGAAGUCUGACCGAGCAACGCCGCGUGAGUGAAGAAGGUUUUCGGAUCGUAAAGCUCUGUUGUAAGAGAAGAACGAGUGUGAGAGUGGAAAGCUCACACUGUGACGGUAUCUUACCAGAAAGGGACGGCUAACUACGUG